GAUGAACGCUGGCGGCGCGCCUAACACAUGCAAGUCGAACGAUUAAAGCACCUUCGGGUGUGUAUAAAGUGGCGAACGGCUGAGUAACACGUGGGCAACCUGCCCCUCUCAUUGGGAUAGCCACGGGAAACCGUGGAUAAUACCGAAUACUUCGAGACUUCCGCAUGGAAGACUUGAGAAAGCUCCGGCGGAGAGGGAUGGGCCCGCGGCCUGUUAGCUUGUUGGUGGGGUAACGGCCUACCAAGGCAAUGAUGGGUAGCUGGGUUGAGAGACCAACCAGCCAGAUUGGGACUGAGACACGGCCCAGACUCCUACGGGAGGCAGCAGUGGGGAAUCUUGCACAAUGGGCGAAAGCCUGAUGCAGCGACGCCGCGUGCGGGAUGAAGGCCUUCGGGUUGUAAACCGCUUUCAGCAGGGACGAGGCGAAAGUGACGGUACCUGCAGAAGAAGCCCG
rnacentral:rRNA from 2 species